CCCUUAGAUGUUCUGGGCUGCACGCGCGCUACACUGAUGCGCUCAACGAGUUUACGACCUUGCCCGGAAGGGUUGGGUAAUCUUUUUAAAACGCAUCGUGAUGGGGAUAGAUUAUUGCAAUUAUUAAUCUUUAACGAGGAAUUCCUAGUAAGCGCGAGUCAUCAGCUCGUGCUGAUUACGUCCCUGCCCUUUGUACACACCGCCCGUCGCUACUACCGAUUGAACGGUUUAGUGAGGGCCUCGGAUUGGUCUCGGCCCGCUCUUUACCGGGCGGCGCCGUUGGUCGAGAAGACGCUCGAACUUGAUCGUUUAGAGGAAGUAAAAGUCGUAACA
rnacentral:rRNA from 1 species